rnacentral:rRNA from 1 species
CCUACGGGAGGCAGCAGUGAGGAAUAUUGGUCAAUGGGCGCGAGCCUGAACCAGCCAAGUAGCGUGAAGGAUGACUGCCCUACGGGUUGUAAACUUCUUUUAUAAAGGAAUAAAGUGAGGCACGUGUGCCUUUUUGUAUGUACUUUACGAAUAAGGAUCGGCUAACACCGUGCCAGCAGCCGCGGUAAUACGGAGGAUCCGAGCGUUAUCCGGAUUUAUUGGGUUUAAAGGGAGCGUAGAUGGGUUGUUAAGUCAGUUGUGAAAGUUUGCGGCUCAACCGUAAAAUUGCAAUUGAUACUGGCAGUCUAGAGUACAGUUGAGGUAGGCGGAAUUCGAGGUGUAGCGGUGAAAUGCUUAGAUAUCACGAAGAACACCGAUUGCGAAGGCAGCUUACUAGACUGACACUGACAUUGAGGCUCGAAAGUGUGGGUAUCAAACAGGAUUAGAUACCCCAGUAGUC